AUUGAACGCUGGCGGCAGGCUUAACACAUGCAAGUCGAGCGGAGAUGAGGUGCUUGCACUAUCACUUAGCGGCGGACGGGUGAGUAAUGCUUAGGAAUCUGCCAUUUAGUGGGGGACAACAUUCCGAAAGGAAUGCUAAUACCGCAUACGUCCUACGGGAGAAAGCAGGGGAUCUUCGGACCUUGCGCUAAAUGAUGAGCCUAAGUCGGAUUAGCUAGUUGGUGGGGUAAAGGCCUACCAAGGCGACGAUCUGUAGCGGGUCUGAGAGGAUGAUCCGCCACACUGGGACUGAGACACGGCCCAGACUCCUACGGGAGGCAGCAGUGGGGAAUAUUGGACAAUGGGCGGAAGCCUGAUCCAGCCAUGCCGCGUGUGUGAAGAAGGCCUUUUGGUUGUAAAGCACUUUAAGCGAGGAGGAGGCUACUAGUACUAAUACUACUGGAUAGUGGACGUUACUCGCAGAAUAAGCACCGGCUAACUCUGUGCCAGCAGCCGCUGUAACAC
rnacentral:rRNA from 1 species